GAGGAUAUAGCUCAGUGGUAGAGGGCAUGGCUGGCAUGCACAAGGGCCUGGGUUCAAGCCCCAGUACCUCCA
rnacentral:tRNA from 1 species